UACAGAGGUCUCAAGCGUUGUUCGGAUUCAUGGGGCGUAAAGGGUGCGUAGGCGGCGCGGUAAGUCGGGUGUGAAAUCUUGGAGCUUAACUCCGAAACUGCAUUCGAUACUGCCGUGCUUGAGGACUGGAGAGGAGACUGGAAUUUACGGUGUAGCGGUGAAAUGCGUAGAUAUCGUAAGGAAGACCAGUGGCGAAGGCGGGUCUCUGGACAGUUCCUGACGCUGAGGCACGAAGGUCAGGGGAGCAAACGGG
rnacentral:rRNA from 1 species